UUAUGACCAUAUCAUGUUGAAAAACUGAUUCCCAUAUGAUCAACAAAGUUAAGCAAUGCUGAGCCUGGUCAGUAGCUUGAUGGAUGACCACUUGGGAAUAUCAGGUGCUGUAAG